GUGCUGCUGAAGAGUCCUAUACUAGGACGAAACGGCCGUCCAGUGU
rfam:Schistosoma curassoni strain Dakar, Senegal genome assembly, scaffold: SCTD_scaffold0023999